rnacentral:ncRNA from 2 species
CACAUCCGCGUGGGAGAGCUCGCCGGGCCUCGGCCCGGUGGCGCCGAAGGGGCAAAUCCUCCCCGGAACCUCUCAGGCAAAAGGACCGCGCGGACAUG